rnacentral:tRNA from 1 species
GUUGUGGCUCAGAGGUAGAGUGUUCACCUAACACGUGUGAGGUACUGGGUUCGAUUCCCAGUACAACA